UACGUAGGGUCCGAGCGUUGUCCGGAAUUACUGGGCGUAAAGAGCUCGUAGGUGGUUUGUCGCGUUGUUCGUGAAAACUCACAGCUCAACUGUGGCGUGCGGGCGAUACGGGCAGACUAGAGUGAUGUAGGGGAGACUGGAAUUCCUGGUGUAGCGGUGAAAUGCGUUGAGAUCGGAAGGAACGCCCGUGGCGAAAGCGAGGUCCUGGACCCUUUCUGACGCUGAGACGCGAAAGCCAGGGGAGCGAACGGG
rnacentral:rRNA from 1 species